rnacentral:rRNA from 1 species
UACGGAGGGUGCAAGCGUUAUCCGGAUUUACUGGGUUUAAAGGGUGCGCAGGCGGAUAUGUAAGUCAGUGGUGAAAUCUCCGGGCUUAACCCGGAACGGUCAAGUGAUACUGCUGUGCUAGAGUGCAGAAGGGGCAAUCGGAAUUCUUGGUGUAGCGGUGAAAUGCGUAGAUAUCAAGAGGAACACCUGAGGUGAAGACGGGUUGCUGGGCUGACACUGACGCUGAGGCGCGAAAGCUAGGGUAGCAAACGGG